rnacentral:lncRNA from 7 species
GACAGAUUCUCUCACCAAUAUAUUGAUGUUAUUGGUGCCUUUGAUCCGUUCAGACAUUCACAGAUAAAUAGCAUCUCGUUUCAGCCAGCUUCACUAAAGGAAAAUUGAAGCUGUUUUCAAGGACAAGCCUACACUCAGCCAGCUCUGAGAAGACAAAUAAGGUCCUGCGAUGCAGAGCUGACUGUCACUUCAGCAUGUAUGGUGUAGCAGCAGGUAUGGAACAGAAGAGAGGAGCCCCCUUCAGAAGUAGAAGUCAUCAUCUUCACUUCUCCAUAUCUUCUCCAGCAGCCUCAGAAUGUGUAAAUGGAAUUCUCAGAUAUUUAACUUCCAUUUUCUUGUUCUUCCUUGGUAUAGAGACGCUUAACAUAUGUCAGAUAACAUUUACCUCUGCAUAUGCUUUUGAUAAGCCUUGGAGUACCCCUGAAUUAACUAUUUUUGCCAUAUAAAU